GUCAAUGUGGAGUUCAGUGGUUUGAGUGUUGAACUAUGACUCUGGAGACUAGGGUUCAAAUCCCUGCUCAGACU